rnacentral:rRNA from 1 species
UACGUAGGGUGCAAGCGUUGUCCGGAAUUAUUGGGCGUAAAGGGCUCGUAGGCGGUCCAUCGCGUCGGGAGUGAAAAGCUGGGGCUCAACCCCAGUCCUGCUUCCGAUACGGGUGGACUAGAGGUAGGCAGGGGAGAACGGAAUUCCUGGUGUAGCGGUGAAAUGCGCAGAUAUCAGGAGGAACACCUGUGGCGAAAGCGGCGCACUGGACCACAACUGACGCUGAGGCGCGAAAGCUAGGGGAGCAAACAGG